rnacentral:rRNA from 2 species
AGGGAAACCGAGUCUUAACCGGGCGUUAAGUUGCAGGGUAUAGACCCGAAACCCGGUGAUCUAGCCAUGGGCAGGUUGAAGGUUGGGUAACACUAACUGGAGGACCGAACCGACUAAUGUUGAAAAAUUAGCGGAUGACCUGUGGCUGGGGGUGAAAGGCCAAUCAAACCGGGAGAUAGCUGGUUCUCCCCGAAAGCUAUUUAGGUAGCGCCUCGUGAACUCAUCUCCGGGGGUAGAGCACUGUUUCGGCUAGGGGGCCAUCCCGGCUUACCAACCCGAUGCAAACUGCGAAUACCGGAGAAUGUUAUCACGGGAGACACACGGCGGGUGCUAACGUCCGUCGUGAAGAGGGAAACAACCCAGACCGCCAGCUAAGGUCCCAAAGUCAUGGUUAAGUGGGAAACGAUGUGGGAAGGCCCAGACAGCCAGGAUGUUGGCUUAGAAGCAGCCAUCAUUUAAAGAAAGCGUAAUAGCUCACUGGUCGAGUCGGCCUGCGCGGAAGAUGUAACGGGGCUAAACCAUGCACCGAAGCUGCGGCAGCGACGCUGAUGCGUUGUUGGGUAGGGGAGCGUUCUGUAAGCCUGUGAAGGUGGCCUGUGAGGGUUGCUGGAGGUAUCAGAAGUGCGAAUGCUGACAUAAGUAACGAUAAAGCGGGUGAAAAGCCCGCUCGCCGGAAGACCAAGGGUUCCUGUCCAACGUUAAUCGGGGCAGGGUGAGUCGACCCCUAAGGCGAGGCCGAAAGGCGUAGUCGAUGGGAAACGGGUUAAUAUUCCCGUACUUGGUGUUACUGCGAAGGGGGGACGGAGAAGGCUAUGUUGGCCGGGCGACGGUUGUCCCGGUUUAAGCGUGUAGGUGUGUGUUCCAGGUAAAUCCGGUUCACUUUAACACUGAGGCGUGAUGACGAGGCACUACGGUGCUGAAGCAACAAAUGCCCUGCUUCCAGGAAAAGCCUCUAAGCAUCAGGUAACAUCAAAUCGUACCCCAAACCGACACAGGUGGUCAGGUAGAGAAUACCAAGGCGCUUGAGAGAACUCGGGUGAAGGAACUAGGCAAAAUGGUGCCGUAACUUCGGGAGAAGGCACGCUGACAC